UACGGAGGAUCCAAGCGUUAUCCGGAUUCAUUGGGUUUAAAGGGUGCGUAGGCGGAAUGAUAAGUCAGUGGUGAAAGCCCUCAGCUUAACUGAGGAACUGCCAUUGAUACUGUCAAUCUUGAGUACAUUUGAUGUGGGCGGAAUGUGUCAUGUAGCGGUGAAAUGCUUAGAUAUGACACAGAACACCGAUUGCGAAGGCAGCUCACAAAACUGUAACUGACGCUGAGGCACGAAAGCGUGGGUAUCAAACAGG
rnacentral:rRNA from 1 species